UGGCCGAUCGUCUAAUGGUAGGACUACGGGUUUUGGUCUCGUCAGUGGGGGUUCGAAUCCUCCUCGGCCAACAA
rnacentral:tRNA from 1 species